AACGAACGCUGGCGGCAGGCCUAACACAUGCAAGUCGAGCGCCCUCUUCGGAGGGAGCGGCGGACGGGUUAGUAACGCGUGGGAAUAUGCCCAAAGGUACGGAACAACCGCUGGAAACGGCGGCUAAUACCGUAUGUGCCCUACGGGGGAAAGAUUUAUCGCCUUUGGAUUAGCCCGCGUUGGAUUAGCUAGUUGGUGAGGUAACGGCUCACCAAGGCGACGAUCCAUAGCUGGUUUGAGAGGAUGAUCAGCAACACUGGGACUGAGACACGGCCCAGACUCCUACGGGAGGCAGCAGUGGGGAAUCUUGGACAAUGGGGCAACCCUGAUCCAGCCAUGCCGCGUGUGUGAAGAAGGCCUUAGGGUUGUAAAGCACUUUCACCGGUGAAGAUGAUGACGGUAGCCGGAGAAGAAGCCCCGGCUAACUCCGUG
rnacentral:rRNA from 1 species